UGGCAAUGUUUUGUUGACCAAUUUACAAGACCGACUAGAGCAAACACAAUGCAGGCUGAAGACACAAAGUAAUGGAAGUAGGACCAUGGAUUGCUUCACACUCAAUGUCCCUUCUGUGUCAACAUCAACUUCACCAAAUUGUGUUGAAAGUUCACCACCACGGGUGGAAAAUGAGAAUAAAAUAGAGAAGAAAACCACAGAAGUCUAUCGUAUUUCAAUAGCUCUGGCAGGUUUUGGCGGGAUUGUGUUUGGUGCUGCUGCAGCAAUAUUUACCAUGUCUGCUGUAGCGAAAAGGAAGCAAAUCAAA